UGGGUGGUUCUGCAGAGGCCCCAGGGACCUGUAGGCAGGUGGAGAGGGGAUGGGGGAGGUCUCAGGUCCUCUUGCUCACCCAUCAGCUGUGUAGUGUCUGAAGUGAUUAAGGAGCUUGGGGAGAGCCCUGAAUGGGAAGAAAUGGGUUCCAUGUGCAGCAAGCCAGGAGAGAUUUAGGCAACGAGAACCUCCAGUUCUGUCUUAGGGUUCCCAGCUUUCUCCUUGUCCUGAGGGAGCCGCUGAGCCUGUGGGAGAUGAGGGGUGCCCAUUCCCCAGUGCUUCUCACCCUCCCCCACCUGCCCUCCUGGGGUACCUUUGUCUGCCACUUGCAUCCUAUUGGAAGCUGUCCCCAAGUGCGUGUUAGGCAGGUGGCAGGUGCUGGAGCAGAGUGCACCACCCUCCGGCGAUCACUGUGAGUUGGGGUAAGAGUGGGGUGUUCCUGCCAGCCCCAGGAGAGGGGAAAGCAAGCCCCCGUCCACCCUUGUGGGUCUCUGCUCCUGGAAAAGGUGCUCUAGCAGGCUCAUCUGUGUGAGUCACUGUCUUCCAUGUGGGGGUUUCAUUCUGUCACCAAGGCUGGAGUGCAGUGGCGUGAUCUUGGUUCACUGCAACCUCUCCCUCCCGGACUCAAGCCAUCCCCCUGCCUCUGUCUCCUGAGUAGCUGGAAUUAUAGAUGUACACCACCACACCUGACUAGUUUUUUAAUUUUUUGUGAAGACGGAGUUUUGCAGUGUUGCCUGGGCUGGUCUCAACUCCUGGGCUCAAGAAAUCCACCUGCCUCUGCCUCCCAAAGUGCUGGGAUUACAGAUAAUGCUGGAAGCCAAGCUUGCACAUUCUAGGCAGCCAUUUGGAAGAUUCUUCUCUGCGCAUGACCAGCUGAAAAGGAAAAACCCCGAAACAUUGGCACUGUGAUUUCUCCAUGUGAACAGUUUAGUUCGCCGAGGUGGACAUGCCUCAUUCAUGCUUAUGGAGUGACCGACCAGCCUUUAGUGACACCCCCUGAAAUGUGAGUCAUCCAUGGGUCACUAGUCAUUGGAGAAGAGCCCCUUAUACAAAACUUGGAGCUCAGACCACAAACAACAACAACAAUCCAAAAAAUAAAAAAAUGAAAAAUUAGGAGCAGAGACUAAAUGGAAAGAUGGAAAUAUUAAAAUAAAAAUAUUAUUUUAAAAAUUAAUA
rnacentral:lncRNA from 1 species